AAUCCAUCUGUCCAUCCAUCCAUCCAUUUUUUCAUCUACCCAUCCUCCAUCCAUCCGUCCAUCCAUCCAUCUUUCCAGCUAUUCAUCUAUCUAGCUCUCUCUCCAUUCAUUCAGCUCUUCCCUUGGAAUUUUCAGUUAUAGGAGGCAAUAAAUUUCCCCUUUUAAACCAAAUCCAUUCAUUAAGCAAAUUUUUAUUGAAAUUCUACUCUUCUCUAUCACUCAUUCAUUUAUUCUUUCCUCAUUCAUUGAUUUCUUAUCAGUUACUGGGUGACUAUGCUAUGCUAAACCCCUUAGUGUUAAAAUUUUGAAGCAUGUCUUUGUGGGAGCACAGCCUGGAACAGGGUGGUCCAGAGAGAGCUUUCCAGCCCAGAUAAGAUCCACGCUGAGCCUUCAAGAGUAAGUAGGAGUUAGCCAGGGAAAGAGGAUGUGUGUUUCAGGAGAAGGGGAACAUAUGACUCAAGAUUGGAGGCUGCAUAGGGCAUGAUGUGCAGUGUUGUGGGAGCCUGAAGGGCACGUCACACAAUGACAGGGAGGUGAAGCUGGAACAGUAUGAAGGAUCAAAUUAUGGAGGGCCUUGUACUUUACACCAAGAGACUCAGAGUUCAUCCUAAUGGUGAUGAGGAGUCCACUCCACUGAAGGGCUUUAGGUAGAAGAAUGAUGUUAGGAUAUCAAUUGCUUUUGACUGCUUGGUAUCCUGCCUUCUGGUAACAAAUCCCAUCUUUUCCCUUUGGGGAACCCUUUUCUUACCCAAUGUCAGUUUACCAAAUUGGGUGGGGCCGAUCCCAUUCUCAGGCUCCAGGCCAAGUACUGCAUGUUCCUGGUCAAAGUGAUUUGUUCAAGGAAGGGCAUCUGACCCAAACAAGUCCAAUGAGAGUCUUCUCCAGGAAUUUUUGUUGAAGCAAUUAGGAAAGAAGUAUUCACUUUCUUUUGGAGUUAAUAAAAUUGUAAGAUUUAAGCCUGAAACUUCUUAGUGGCAAUUUUUCCACCACUGGGGAUGACCUGUUUAAGAAUGAAUCCACAGAGGAGAGUGGAGCCGAAAGAAGGAGAGACAUGUUCCUGAUGAACUUAUUUGGUCAACUGGAUCCAGCCGUGCCAGAAGUCUAAUUCUACUCCUAGAUGCUUUACACAAGCCAAUAAAUUCUCACUUUUUUUUUUUUUUGCUGACAGUGACUUGAAUUUGGUUUCUGUCACUUUUGAAGAGUUCUGAGUAAAUCAGAUCAACUCAGAUUUGUACAUUAGGUAGAGUACCUGGGUAGCUGUUUGAGGAUGGAAUUGAGAGGAUAAGGCUAGAAGCAGGAUUACCAAUUAGGAGGCAAUUGCCUGACUCAGGAAAGGAAGAUCUAUCAGGUAGCUAUUACUAUUUAUAGCUAAUUUGCAACCAGCCACAAAAUCUCAUUGGCACACAAGCAUAAGCUUUUUCGUCUUGUUCACAUGUCUGUGUGUCACUGUGGUUCAGAUGAUUUAGACUACCUGAAGAUGUGUUCACAUGACAAACAGCAAGAGCACAAGAGACCAAGUCUAACUGCACGGCCAGAGUUAUAUUCUCUAUCAUUCCGUUGCCAACAGCCAGUCACACGGCCAAAUCCAACAUCAACAGGGCAGGAAAGUACCUUCCUCUCAUGGAGUUAAAUUUUCAAGUCUCAACCACUGGGCCAGAGCUGGAAGGGGAAAAAUCUUGGCAAUGAGGAUGUGACUCUUGGGACUCCCUCAUCACUCUGGAGACUGCCCCUGAGAUCCCAGGACGUCUGACCACUCGGGCCAAGGGCAAUAUAGUUCUUUGCAGAAGUUCAAGAAGAAUCUGUCCUUCCUGUAACAGGAUAUAGUUGGAAAAAUUGGUUAUAUAACCAAUGCUUUGACUGGAAUGCCAUAUUGGAGAAUGAUGUGCACAGAAUCAGAUAAGAUCAGACACUUUUAAGGAACUGAGAACCAUAAAGGUUGACUUCAUGUUGUAAUUCUUACAAAGCCCUCUUGGAAGAACUGGCCUAUUAUCUGGAUUGCAGGUUCUCUGCCUUGCAGGUGAGUAAGCAAAGUCACUUCCUGGCAGGCCCAGGAACCUUAGGAUAUUCUGGGGACCUCAAGAAGAGAGGCAUUCAUCCAAAUCUAUAGGAACUGCAGAUGAAGUCUGGUGGUGAGUUCCUGGCUUGGGUUCUUAGCCUCAAGUACGUUUUUAAAAGUACAAUCUGAGAUUCCUCAUGAAAAGUUCCAGCAAAGCAAAUUUAAAAAGACGUUGUGGUCAGUUACCUUUCUUGCUGCACUUAUGUAAAGAUAUAGGCCAAAUCCAAUGAAACAAGACUUAUUUUGCAAUCAAGAAUAAUCUUACUUUGAUUAUCUUUGAUCAAAAUAGAAGGUGAUUGUAGAGAGAAAGUUUAUGUUUCAAUGGAAUACUAUAAGGCAUCCUUGUGGGUUAUCAGAUUCUAGUCCUGUUCAUUGUCUUUGUGCUAUUUUUCAUCUUUUUGUAAAGUGGCUCCCACUGUCUUGUGCAUUUUAUCAGUAAUUAACAUUUUCACCAAGAACUAAAACUGCCCUUCUCUCAAAGCACUGUAAGUCAAAGCUGGAUGAUUUCAUAUAACUUCAAAGGAUUUAUCACCACAAUGAUGUGGGCCACUCAGAAAGUUCACCAAACGCCCGUGUCUUCCACGCUUUGCUCCAGGAAAUAACCAUGAUUAUGACACUACCAUUACCAUCUUCACUAAAGACGUUUCGAACCCAACAUCUAGAAAUCUUCUCGACUGGCUCCCUUCUGGACUCAGAAACCGUGUGUAUACUCUGCUCCAAUCAUUAAUCUUUGUUUUUCUUUUUGAUUCCUCAUUCUAAUCUAUGUUCUUCUCCCCCAUGGCAGAUCUUUUACCUCAGAAUUUCUAACAUGAAUCUCUCUCCACAGCAAACAACCUAGCUUCUUUUUUUGUGUGUGAAACUUCUAGGAACGUUUCAGAUGAGGGAAAUAUGGGGACCCUCUCAGAUCCCCAGAGUUGGUAUAAAGAUUAUUUUAAAGUCAAAACAUUUGAGUGCAGAAAGAUAUCUUUUUGAACUUCCCUUAUCUGCCUAAAGCAGAGCCUCCUGAAAAUACAGCUGCUGUUAACCUCCCUCCUGGGGAGUUUCCUGAAAAUUCAUUUGCCAAGAAGACAGACUGCCCAUACCUGUUAGCAUCAAAAAGCUCAACAGAAACUUCCAUAUUCUCCUGUUAAAGCCCUAAAAACCACCUUUCCUUUGGGCAAUCCCAUGAGUUUUCCAUUCUGUGUGCUCUCCUGCUUGCAUGUGUGAAAACAUAUCUUGUCUUUUCUUCUGUUAAUCUGUAUUUUUUCCAGUUAAAUUUGCAGGCCCCCAAGCACUGGACCCAAGUUAGAAAAGGAAAGUUUUUCUCCCAAGAGAGUCAUCAGAACACACUGUCAGUUAAAGCCUUGGAGAAGAUUAGCUCCCUGAAGGGAGGGGCUGCCCACAGAAAGAAGAGAACGUUCAAGGAAAGAACUGAGGAAAAACCAACAUCUAAAGGGUAGUGGGGUAGAAAAGCCACAAAAGAGCUGGAGAAGGCCGAAGAUCAGAUUGAUGGGAGAUAAUGACCAAUGGCUUCCAUGUGUGGAGCAUUUACCAAGUGCCAGGCACUGUGCUCAAAGACUCUAUAAGCAUUGUCUAAUCUGCUCUUCACGGUAGCUCCCGAAGGCGGGUAAAAUUCACACAUUAUUGGUGAAACAACACAGUCGUGAACCUUGAGUGAAUUGCCGAAAUUCACACAGCUAGUUGGUGGCAGGGCAAGAAUUUGAACUCUAGAGGCCAUGGUUUUAGCCAUGGUAGUGGGUUGAAUAGUGUCCCCCCAAAUUCAUGUGUACCUGGAACCUCAGAAUGUAAUCUUAUUUGGAAAUAUGGUUUGAAGAUGUGUUCAAGUUACGAUGAGGUCAUACUGGAUUAGUGGGUCCCAUAUCCAAUGACCGGUGUCUUUGUAAGAGAAGGGAGAGGAGGACUUGGAUACAGAGAUGUAGAGGAAGAAAGCCAUGUGAAGAUGGAUGUAGAGAUUGGAGUUAUGCUGCUACAAGCCAAGGAACACCUGCGGCCACCAGAAGAUGGAAGGAACAAGGAAGGGUUCUUUCCUCGAGGCUUCAGAGGAAGCAUGGCCCUGCUGUCACCUUGAUUUUGGACUUCCAGUCUCCUGGACCGAGAAUAAAUUUCUGUUGUUUUAAGCCACUCAGUUUCUAGUACUUUGUUAAGGCAGCCCUUGGAAACAAAUACAGCCACUGUACCAUCACUGGCUUUCUUAGAGGAGAAGACUCAAGAGAGUGAUGUUAGCGAAUUCCAGGAGGAGAGAUGGAUUCUUGGGGUUGAGUGAGCGUGGAGCUUGUCCUUCUAGAGGUGUGUUUCUGAAUCACACUUGAGUCUUUUUCAGGGUAUGCAAGGCCAUUGCCUGAUCUGGAGAAGUUUUACCCCUAUCCAUCUUGUUAAAGAAAAAAUUAUUCAUGAUUCUUGUUAAGGAUGGUAAGGCAGACUUAAUUCAGGGGGAUUACUAGAAUGGGAUUUUGUAGUAGGAGAGUGAUCAGGUUCGACUCCGAAUACAAGAGGACAAGUGGAAAUUUAUAGCCAAGAAGGAGGGCAGGGGUAAGCGGAUGGAAAAUUACUAUGAGGAAACAUCAAGGCAAGGGGGAUUCUUGCUAGACUGAAUCAACAUGAUUCUUGCUGAAGGCGGAUGAGGGCGAUGAGAGUCGAAGAUGAGGAAUUUGAUCAGAUAUCAAGAGUGGGGGAUUUUUGCUAAACUGACCUAGCAGGAUUCUUGCUAAAACUAAACUGAACGGUCCAACAAAAGAACUCAACAUCAGGGCUUUAGGGCUUACAGGAAUCUGACUAGAGUUACGUCAAGGAGAGAGUCUUUGUCGCUGUCCACACCAUGGCUGUCAAGAGCCACUGAUUAUGAUGACAGUGUGUCACGUUCAUGCAUUCAGCUCACAUGGAGAAUAUCACCCAUGAUGCAGAGACACAGGUCAGGCUGUACUUUUCCUGGUGUGUGGAAGUGUGUGGGCUUGUGGUUGGGCUGGUGUGGGGGAUGGAGAAUGAUUAAGACAGGUUCUUCAAAUAAAAGAUUAACUCCACUGGGCCCUCUCUGGGCUCUCUGGCCGAUAGCUUCCUGCCCAGAGAGGUUAUCUCUCUUGUCCCAUGCCUGACACCUUUUGAAAGAGUAAGGAGGAAGUAUCGUUGUGCCUAGGGACUGGUUAACAUCCUGAAUUAAGCAGCAGCAAAUAAAUUGAGCAUCAAAACUGAGACUUUGAAGAAAAGAUUACUUAAAAAUCUCAAUAAACUUCCUGACACUUCUUUUCUUCCUCUGAAUCCUUUUGGAAAGUCUCCUUGUCCCCAUCUCCUUCCCAACCUCCAACCGCACUUGAAGAAAACAUGGGAAAACAUGCUCAUCAUGCCAAUAAAAAUGCCAAAAUCCUCUAUUACCUGAACUUAAUUUUUUUCUCAUUAAAAGUAAUACAGACUUUGUUUCUGGUUCCGUUUGGAAGUUGCCACUCCAUUCUAACAAUAAGUACACAGCUGAAUAGACUGAAAAAUCAACAAUUCUUUUUGGCUCUAUAAAAGCGGAGGACACAGGGCAAACUGCUGGCUCAAAGAUUGGAGAGACAGACAGGCUUACCCAGGGAGUCACAGGUGCCUAGAGCAGGGACUUGUGAAUGGAAACUGCCUUGGAACCAAUGCAGGGGUAGGAAAGCCAGAACCAUAAUGAAUGAAUUGCUGGAGGCUCAGUGUGGACAGGUCUGAGAGUUAAAAACUCUAGAGAAACCCCAUUAUAGGGGCACCCUCACACUUUGACGAGUGGUAACUCCAACAGCUCAACUAGAUUCUCACAGUAAAUAUCAGAGAAAAAUCCUCUCGUGCUUCUUGCAGGAGGAGGGGAAAAGGAACCAUUCUGAAAGACAUCAAAGCAUGCUGCUUUUUUUUGGCUUAAAAAAUGGGGAAAUUUA